rnacentral:tRNA from 1 species
UGGAGGGAAGCGAUGAGGUACACCAUCGUUCGGGACGAGGGGGUCGUAGGUUCAAAUCCUAUCACUCCGACCA